rnacentral:lncRNA from 1 species
CCUAGACAUAUCUAUAUGCAUGUGGUACCAAUUCAUCAUAAUCUUGGAUAACUUAACCCAAGUGUUUUAGAUCAUCGUCUCUAAAAAAUUCUAGAUCAUCGUCUCUAGAAUAACAAUAAACUAGAUCAUCGUCUCUAGGAUACUCAUCAAUAGACACAACUUAUGAAUGCAUGAAAUGUGCAUAUACCAAAUAUAUGGUUUUAUCUCAACUAUAACAUCAACACAAUAAGGAUAAUACAAUCCAAAUAUUCUAAAUCAUUGUCUUUAGAAUACCUUCACUCAUGAUAAAUC